GGCGUGGCCAAGGCAGCGGGGGUUUAUGACAAAGUUGAGCGACCUCAUGUCACUCAAACCAGCUGUAUUAAGGAAGGUGCAAGCUUUUGGGAUUUCUGUUUGGAUUUAGUUUAGGUUCAAAAGAGCACGCACAGAUCCUGAGUGUUGUCAAGCACCCGUGACUGGGAAACGGAGGCGUCCGAUCCGUAUUGGAGUCAAUUCGCCACUUAAUUGAACACAGCCUCGAAGGGAAGGGCCAUAUUUGUGGGCCUGUCUAACAAUUAAGAGUGACCACAUGGAAUGGGGGAUGAAAGGGUUAAAGAAGAACAAAUAUUGAACACAGCUUUUCUAUGAACAAACUGCAGGCAGCUGCUGCUUUGCAAGGUAAGCAAGGCUGCGCCCUGUGUCUCAUAGCACUUACGGAAGACAGCUAAAAGGAUGGAGAAGAUCAUGGAGGCAGUGUGUGUGUGUGUGUGUGUGUGUGUGUGACAGAGAAAGAGUGAGAAUGUGUGUGUGUGUGAGAGAAUGUAUGUGUUUGUGUGUGUGAGUUUGUGUGAGUGUGUAUGAGAGAGAAAGAAUGAGAGAAUGUGUGUGUGUGUGUGUGUGUGUGUGUGUGCGCGAGAGAAAGAAUGUAUGUUUGUGUGUAUGAAUGUGUGUGUGAGUUUGUCUGUGUGUGUAGAAAGAGAGAACUGUGAGUGGGCUGGAGAUUCCUGGGGAAUAUUCUCACAGGUAUUUCCUCUGGCUGAUAGUCUCUGUGUUUACAUUCUUGAGACAGUGUAAACAACAAACUCCAUGUUGCAGAAAAGAGAGCAACACAGUUUAACUUUUAUAGCGCAGAGUUGCACAGUGUGGUGGAGUACACCCCUGAUCCUAGCAGCAAGAAGGCCAAAGUGAGAGGAUAACUUUCCAGCUUGGGCUACAUGAGAUCCUGUCUCACCCUCCCUUGCUUUUCUCCCCUGAAAGAACGUGGCUCAGAAGACAAACACAUCCUUUAAGCCCAGAAACCAUCAGGCAGAAAUUAGCUUUAUAGUUAAACCAAAGUGAAAGAGACGGGGGAAAAGAAGAUGCAUUCCUCUUAUCGAGAGCUGUGGGCCCGUGUACCAGAGGUUUUCCAUGGAGCUCUCUGGCCCGGCCUGGUGUGAGGGUUCUCUGCUGUCUGCUUACUCGACUUGGUUAUUCCAUGCCACCCUGCACUGAGUCGGUUUGGGCUGGGCCCAGGAGAGGCCUACUAACCAGUGAGGAGUGUGGUUGAGUUUCAGGCGUUUGGGGAGAGCAGACCUCUUCCCAAGUGUUUCAGCUCUUAGGACAGAAGGCUCAGACAACAGAGUGGUUCUCGCACACCUUUGAUCUUUCUGGAUAGGAUUCUUAUAUACAGUUUUGGGGUGGGUAAGGGUAUGACAACAAGUACUUCUCAUUGGUUUGGUCUGAGAGCUGUGGGGAAACCUUAUUUGCAUGUGGGAGG
rnacentral:lncRNA from 1 species